rnacentral:rRNA from 1 species
AGGAAGGUGGGGAUGACGUCAAAUCAUCAUGCCCCUUAUGACCAGGGCUACACACGUGCUACAAUGGCGUAAACAAAGGGAAGCGAAGGAGUGAUCCGGAGCAAAUCUCAAAAAUAACGUCUCAGUUCGGAUUGUAGUCUGCAACUCGACUACAUGAAGCUGGAAUCGCUAGUAAUCGCGAAUCAGCAUGUCGCGGUGAAUACGUUCCCGGGUCUUGUACACACCGCCCGUCACACCAUGGGAGUCAGUAACGCCCGAAGCCGGUGACCCAACCUACAAGGAGGGAGCCGUCGAAGGCGGGACCGAUAACUGGGGUGAAGUCGUAACAAGGUAACCUCAGUCAGUCA